rnacentral:misc_RNA from 1 species
UACAACUUCUGUUACGAGACGCGUUUUCUUUUCUAUGGAUAUACUCCUAAUGCCAUUACCAUUUUAAUUACUACUUGCUACAGCUUCCUCAUCACCUCAAAAUAAAAGGCUCUCAUUCUUCUUUGGCUGUCUCUGUUGGCUGUCUCCAAAUCUAGGAUUAAUUUAACAAAAUAAGCCGAAAGCCUUUUGUGUUUUCAGCACCAACCCUGCUUCUUCUCUUUCUUGAUUGCUGUGGGAUAAAACUCCAAGAUUUCUACAACAAAAAUAUGUGUCCUUUGAGGUUUAUCUUGGUUUUUUUCUCAGCAGUUUUGGCUGGAUACUUUGCAUGGAGGACUGUACGCUCGUCGCCGGAGAUUGAAAGCAUAAAUUCCGAUGACUCAGCUGUUGAACAGAAACCAUUGAAUGAUAAACAAGAAUUCAAUGUAAACAAGGUAAAGAUUUUCAAUCUUGCUUUUGAAGAUUGAUUUCUUUGGUUUAUUCUUUUCUUGAGAUGUUUCUUUUGUAUUGAUUCUAAGUUGGAUGUUAAUUGAUCUAGAUGAUUCAAAAUGGAUUCUGGGUAUUCGUCGACAUGGCCAGCGGAAAGUACCUGUGGAGGAAUCUAAAGGAGAUGAGGAAAGAUGAGAAAGUGAAGAGCUGCUAGAAUUUCAUCUUCUUGUUCUGUAAUCAAACUAUUUUUGCCCCUUGUUCUUGCUGUGGGGGAAGAGGAAGAAAUGGGAAUUUGAGGGCUGGUCACUUGUAAUUUUCUUAUCAUUCCAUAGCAAAUUUAGUUUUUUCUGUUGAUAAUCCCUUUUGGGUUAAUGAAAUUAACUGUGUUCAUAAUUUGACCAUUGUUAGUAAUUAUGUUAAUUAUCUGAAAAAACCUUGAGG